UUACUGCUCCCCCCGUCCAACAAAGAAUAUCUCAACUUUAACUAAAUUUGAAUGCAUCUAUAUACUAAGUCAUGUCUAGAUUCAUUCAAAUUUUAACAAACUUAAGACAUCUUUUGUUGGACGGAUGGAAUAUUUA
rfam:Brachypodium distachyon strain Bd21 chromosome 1, whole genome shotgun sequence.